rnacentral:rRNA from 1 species
UAAGGUCACGGCAAGACGAGCCGUUUAUUAUAUAAUAGGUACCAGGUAGAAGUGUAGUAAUGCAUGUAGCUGAGGUAUCCUAACAGACCGAGAGAUUUGAAC